AUGGCCCCCGCCCUCGCCCCACUCCUCGCCAGCCUCGCGGUGGCGGCCGCGGUCCUGGCGGCCGUUGCCGACGCGGCGUGCCGGCACACCAACCUCACGGCGGGCUUCGCGGCGGACCUCACCAUGCUGCAGCACCAGCUGCGGGGCACGGUGCGCCUCGACCCCUCCGGCGCCUGCGCGCUCCAGCUCACGCGCUUCGACCUCCUCGCCGCCUCCCCCUCCGCGCGCUUCUGGGCCGCCGACGGCCCUUCCCUCGACGACCUCGCCAAAGGCCGCCCCUUUUCGCCGCUCCCGCUCAACGCCACCUUCCGCAACGAGACGCUCCGCCUCCCCUUCUCCGCCCCGCUGCCGCCGCUCCUCGCCAUCUUCGACCCCGACACCUCCUCCGACCUCGGCCACGUCUUCCUAUCCGCCGUCUCCAACUCCUCCAACACCACCGCCGCUCUUGCCUCCCGGAUCGCCGCGCCCACCAUGUUCGACAACUGCGUCCAGCUCUCCGAGGGCUACCGCCUUCGCUGGACGCUCAAUGUGUCCGCCGGCGAGGUCGACAUCGGCCUUGAGGCUGCCGUUGGCUCCGAGUACUACAUGGCUUUCGGGUGGGCCGACCCCAAGGCCAACUCCCCCGCCAUGGUCCGCUCGGACGUUGUCGUCGCCGGCUUCACCGAGGAAGGUAUGCCCUUCGCAGAGGACUACUACAUUACCGACUACAGCGAGUGCACCAUGGGGAAGGAUGACCUGCCAGUGUCGGGAGUGUGCCCGGACAGUGCUUAUGAUGACGGGAGGAACAAUUCCAGGCUGGUUUAUGGGCACCGGCGCGAUGGCGUGUCUUUCGUCAGGUACAAGAGGAAACUCGAUAGUGAAGAUGACAAGUAUGAUGUGCCUGUUGGUGCCACGGAGGAGAUGGCUGUGGUCUGGGCCAUCGGGAAGCUGCGUCCGCCGGACACCCUGCGCCCACACUACCUCCCGCAGAACCAUGGGGGGCCGAGGGACGAAACCUUUGGAUUGAUGAGGGUCAAUUUGUCCGAGGUGGUGGACAGUUGCCUUGGACCGUUGGAUGCUGACAAUAAGCAAGACCAGGACAGGAUCAUUGCCGAUGGGAAGACACCGCUGGUUGUGACAUCCGCUCCAGCAUUGCGCUACCCAAACCCACCAAACCCGGACAAGGUGAUAUACAUCAACAAGAAGGAGGCGCCACUGCUGAAGGUUGAGAGGGGUGUGCCGGUGAAGUUCUUAGUGCAGGCUGGUCAUGAUGUGGCACUGUAUGUCACUUCAGACCCCAUCGGUGGAAAUGCCACUUUGCGGAAUAAGACUGAGGUCAUAUAUGCCGGUGGCCCUGAUGUUCAUGGUGUGCCAGCAACCCCCACAGAGCUGGUUUGGCUGCCUGAUAGGAAUACACCUGAUCUUGUCUACUACCAGUCGGUGUAUGAAGCAAAGAUGGGGUGGAAGGUUCAAGUGGUAGAUGGAGGCCUCAGCGACAUGUACAAUAACAGUGUAUUGUUGGAUGAUCAGCAGGUUACUCUGUUUUGGACUCUGUCCACUGACUCUAUAUCCAUAGCAGCUCGAGGUGAGAAGAAAAGCGGGUACCUUGCUGUCGCGUUUGGGAGUGGGAUGCUGAACAGUUAUGCCUAUGUUGGCUGGGUAGGCAAUGAUGGAGUUGGCAGGGUCAAGACUUACUGGAUUGAUGGAAAGAGUGCAGCAGGUAUUCAUUCAACAUCUGAAAAUUUAACCUAUGUCAGGUGUAAAUCAGAAGAUGGCGUUAUUACAUUUGAGUUUACACGUCCUCUUAAGCCUUCCUGUACUGGAAAGGUAGAGUGCAAGAAUAUUAUUGAUCCAACCACACCUCUCAAGGUUGUUUGGGCCAUGGGUGCAAGCUGGUCAGGAGAUGAUCUGACGGACAGUAAUAUGCAUUCGGUCACAAGCAGUCGCCCCAUACGUGUUCUUUUGUUGAGAGGUUCAGCUGAGGCAGAACAGGACUUGCGGCCCGUUCUGGCUGUGCAUGGAUUUAUGAUGUUUGUGGCCUGGGGCAUUUUGCUUCCUGGUGGAAUAUUGGCUGCUCGGUAUUUGAAAAGCUUGAAGGGAGACGGGUGGUACCAAAUACAUGUCUAUCUGCAGUAUUCUGGGAUCUCUAUAAUGUUCCUUGGCGUCCUUUUUGCUGCAGCUGAGCUCCGAGGUUUCUAUGUCGAUUCAGUGCACGUCAAGUUUGGUUUGUCAGCCUUACUGUUGGCAGCUUUUCAGCCACUCAAUGCCUAUUUCCGGCCCAAGAGGCCCGCUAACGGGGAGGUUCCACCCCAGAACCGUGUCCUCUGGGAGUACCUACAUGUCAUCACAGGCAGGUCAGCAAUUGUCGUCGGAGUCGUGGCGCUUUUCACCGGAAUGAAGCAUUUAGGCCACAGGUAUGACAGUGAAAAUGUAGAGGAGCUCACCUGGGCCUUGAUGCUGUGGGUGCUUUCCGCCAUAGUUAUAGCUCUGUCCUUGGAAUAUAAAGAGGUCAAACGAAGGGGCGGCGACCGAAGCUUCAGAGGGCACUGGGUUCUAGGUAACACCGAGGAAGAUGACUCGGUUGAUCUCUUGCAUCCUGACAGCUCUGCCAGGAGUUCAGAAUCUAGGCCUUCUGGUGUAAUGGAGGUGCAGCUUGAGCCUCUCACUAGAUGA
rnacentral:rRNA from 1 species